GUGUCAGCAGCCGCGGUAAUACGUAGGUGGCAAGCGUUAUCCGGAAUUAUUGGGCGUAAAGCGCACGCAGGUGGCGGCUUAAGGCUGACGUGAAAGCGCCUGGCUUAACUGGGCGAGGUCGUUGGCAACUGGGUCGCUUGAGGCGAGGAGAGGGGCGUAGAAUUCCCGGUGUAGUGGUGGAAUGCGUAGAUAUCGGGGGGAAUACCAGAGGCGCAAGCGGCGCCCUGGCCUGUGCCUGACACUCAUGUGCGAAAGCGUGGGGAGCGAACGGGAUUAGAUACCCCUGUAGUCC
rnacentral:rRNA from 1 species